GAUGAACGCUGGCGGCGCGCCUAACACAUGCAAGUCGAACGAUUAAAGCACCUUCGGGUGUGUAUAAAGUGGCGAACGGCUGAGUAACACGUGGGCAACCUGCCCCUCUCAUUGGGAUAGCCACGGGAAACCGCGGAUAAUACCGAAUACUUCGAGACUUCCGCAUGAAAGACUCGAGAAAGCUCCGGCGGAGAGGGAUGGGCCCGCGGCCUGUUAGCUUGUUGGUGGGGUAACGGCCUACCAAGGCAAUGAUGGGUAGCUGGGUUGAGAGACCGACCAGCCAGAUUGGGACUGAGACACGGCCCAGACUCCUACGGGAGGCAGCAGUGGGGAAUCUUGCACAAUGGGCGAAAGCCUGAUGCAGCGACGCCGCGUGCGGGAUGAAGGCCUUCGGGUUGUAAACCGCUUUCAGCAGGGACGAGGCGAAAGUGACGGUACCUGCAGAAGAAGCCCCGGCUAACUACGUGCCAGCAGCCGCGGUAAUACGUAGGGGGCAAGCGUUAUCCGGAUUCAUUGGGCGUAAAGCGCUCGUAGGCGGUCUGUUAGGUCGGGAGUUAAAUCCGGGGGCUCAACCCCCGUUCGCUCCCGAUACCGGCAGACUUGAGUUUGGUAGGGGAAGGUGGAAUUCCUAGUGUAGCGGUGGAAUGCGCAGAUAUUAGGAAGAACACCAGUGGCGAAGGCGGCCUUCUGGGCCAUAACUGACGCUGAGGAGCGAAAGCUAGGGGAGCAAACAGG
rnacentral:rRNA from 1 species